CAAGAACGUUCUAAAUUUGCUCAAGAUAUUCUUUCAAUGUUUUUCAAGUUUUAAAACCAUAAUUUUCCGGUAAGUGUAGAGAGUUGGUUAUUACCUGGUAAAAUAUGUACGUAUUGCUUUAUUUUAGUCAAGAAAAGAGAAAUAUUUUGCUGUUAAAAACUCUUAUCUAUUGUAUGGUGAUCGUGUGAUGAGGUCAGCAAAAAUUGAAGCAUGCUAUAUUUUUGGUUUAUUAUAUUAGAUUUAUGUCAGAUUUCGCAAAUAUUUUUGUCAGAUGUUGUGCUUGUUUUAAUAUUGAUAAUAUAGUGGCCUGCAGAGGUGGCCUGGAGAUUAUCAAAAACGGAAAAGCGUGUCAAAUUUAAUAUUCUGUUUCGCCAAUUUCGUCUUGUCAAGUGCAUAAUUUCAUGAUGUCAGAAAUUGUACUUCGGUACUUCAUCAAAACACUCCAUCAAAGAAACAUAAUUGCAUAAUUUGAUUUAUAGACGAGAGUUUAAUACAUAUUCAAGUGAUAUUCUAUUUUCCAAAACAAAUUUAUGAGAAUAUUUGUGGCGAGUAAUUUCUUGAUUAGACCACAUUAUUUUACAAAACAUGGCGGCUUGCCAAUGACGCGUGCGGACGUUUGGUAAAUAAUGUUGACAUUUUGUCUACUCGACUUUAUUUGUCACAACUAAAGUCCAGAAGGGCAUUUAAACAGAGGGCAGCUUUGCUCUUGUUGACCCAUAAAAAUGAGCAUAUAAUGAGGAGUAGAAUAUUUGAUUAUUGUGGGUUGAUCAUGGCAAACUGUCUCCAGAUGUCAGCUCUAAUUUAUUUAUGUUGAACAACUGUUAACAUGAUGAGGCAAAUCCUUUAACAAGUUGUUUGUUUUUGUUAUCUCAGCAGAUAUGGCAAGGCUUCCAAUACUAAUACUCAUUGUUUUAACAAUCUUUCUUUUAAUUGGGGUAAGUACUGGCCAUUUCCUGUCUUUUUUAACUCAUUAAAUAUCUAUAAACACCAGACUAGAUGGAUUUUCAG